UCUAUGAAAAACUGAGUUGGAAUUUUAAUGGGGAUUGCAUUGAAUCUGUAGAUUGCUUUUGGCAAAAUGGCCAUUUUUACUAUAUUAAUUCUGCCAAUCCUUGAGCAUGGAAGGUCUUUCCAUCUUCUGAGAUCUUCUUCAAUUUCUUUCUUCAGAGACUUGAAGUUCUUGUCACUUGCUUGGUUAGAGUCACACUGAGGUAUUUUAUGUUAUUUGGGACUAUUGUGAAGGAUGUCAGCCUGUUUAUUCUUUGAGUAGAGGAAGGCUUCUCAUUUGCUUGAGUUAAUUUUAUACCCAGCUACUUUGCUGAAGUUGUUUAUCAGGCUUAGUAGUUCUCUGGUGGAACUUUUGGGAUCAGUUAAGUAGACUAUCAUAUCAUCUGCAAAUAGUGAUAUUUUGACUUCUUUCUUUCCAAAUUGUAUCCCUUUGGCCUCCUUUUGUUGUCUGAUUGCUCUGGCUAGGACUUUGAGAACUAUAUUGAAUAAGUAAGGAGAGAAUGGGCAGCCUUGUCUAGUCCCUGAUUUUAGUCAGAUUGCUUCAAGUUUCUCUCCAUUUAGUUUAACGUUGGGUACUGAUUUGCUGUAUAUUUCUUUUAUUAUGUUUAGGUAUGAGCCUUGAAUUCCUGAUGUUUUCAAGACUUUUAUCAUGAAGGGGUGUUGAUUUUUGUCAAAUGCUUUCUCAGGAAGGGUCCUGCUGCUGAAUGCUCCUGUGUUCCUGUAUGCAGAGGGCACUAGGUAGGUUCCUCUUGGUCCAGGAAUGUGAGCAGAAGUGGUGAUCUCCCCUGAACUCUCAGGAUUGUCUGCACUUCUGAGAGUCCAGCUCUCCCCCCAUGGGAUUUUGGUGCAGAGAGCUGUGGGACUGGUUCAGUUCCCUCUACAUCAGUUUUAAGGAGGAAGUUGAAUACAUGGACCUUUGUGCCAUAGAAGGAAUAGAGACUCAUCUUGACUGGGGUCAUCAGCUUGCCUUGAUAAAGUUAUUUCCUGCCUCCAGGGACUACAUCCCCAAUACCACUAUGUACCAACUUUGGCUUCCACUCAGUAUCACCAAAGGCCAAAAUGAGUCACUUUAUUGCAAGGGAAGUACAGCAAGAGACACAGGACCAGAGAAUCCACACUUUCCACAUGACAUCACCUGGAAGCAGAAGCUGGUAGCCUGAUUGAGAGGUGGUGGUGGUGACUGGUGGGGCAGAGAUGGGAGGGAGGAAGGGGAGAGGGAAGGGAGAGCUUCCUUUAAAUGUGACUGAGGUUAGGAAUUAUGAUGGUUAACCAUGAAUUUGAUACAGUCUGGAGGAGGGUCUCUAAGAAUGUCUGUGAAGAAUUAUCUUAUGUUAGUUGAUAAGAGAGGGCCCCCUAGCUGGAGAUGACACUGUUUAUAUAGUCUGUAUAAGAAGCGAGGGUGCCGAGCCGGAGCUCAUAUGCAUUAAUUCUUUGCUCUCUGCUCUUGACCGUGAGUAUAAUGUGACCAGUUGCUUCCAGUUCUGCUAUCUUGACUUCCCUGUAAUGAUAGACUGUAACUGGGAACUGUGAGCCAACACUAACAAUUUUCUUCUAAAAUUGCUUUGAUCAGAAUAUUUUAUCACACCAAUGGAAGAGAAAGUGAGACAGGAAUGUUACCUGUGAGGAUGCACAUUUAUCCUGCAGGACACAUUUAUACAUGAUGUCAGUGAUGGCUGUGCUCCCUGUAAGGGUUCAGUUCUCCAUAAGGAGAAGGCCUCCAGAGGAAGAUACAGUCAGAGUGCCACUGAAAUUUCAUUUACACCAGCUACCUGGCCACUUGAAGUUUCUAACAACGAUGACCAGAGGGCAAGAAAAGAGAGUAUCACCUGACAGACACAGUUGGUUCACAGCACUAGAUAUAAGUAAGGCUGCAGAUGGAGCAUGGUCCGGGGAUGGAUGCAUUUUGUGCUCAGCUGGUAUAUCAGGUGUCUCUCCUAUGAUCUUGGGCUCGGUUGUCCCUGCAGACAGCCAACAACAGGCGUCAGAGUCUGAGAAGGGAAUUGUUGAACUUUGAACAUGAAAACGACACCACAGACUCACUUGUUUAAGCACUUGUACACGACAGUGAAGGAUCUGCCCUUCUUGUCUUAUACCAUGAACAAACGUAUAUCAUUCUUCUUUCAUUUUUUUCAGUUUUAUUUUUUGGUCACAGCAGAAGGAAAGUAACAUAAAAAUGUAACCGAGAGUCAGACAAUGUUGUAGACCACCAGGUAAGUGUUCUAGACCAGCAGUAGUAUAAGCCAACAGAGGGGGAAUCUUUGUGUGUGUGACUGGACAGAGAAUAUAUAUAUAUAUAUAUAUAUAUAUUCAUAUCUCCAAAUGUCUACAAUGUGUGUGGAACAGAAGAUAAUCCUAGGUUUCAUUCCUUGCUGUCAUUAUCCACCUUAUAUUUUGAGACAGAAUUUCCCAUUGGCCUAUAGUUGGUUUUUGCUACCUUGUGGGUUCUUCUUUCUUCCACCCUUCUCCACCCUUUCUUACUCUUUCAACCCCUAAUACUACAUAGGAGAGAAAACAUAUGGUAUAAAGGGGGUAUAUGUUUUUUAAAGACAUGAAAAAUUCCGAAAUUGUCACUACUUUGGCCUAGAACUUGGUAAGUAUGUUCAAUUUGACGGGCCACCCACUCACAAGGCUUUGCCCACGUCUUCCCUGACACUGGGAUUGCAACCACUUGCCACAAUGCCCUGCCUUCUCAUGUGGGCUCAGAUUUGCCUGUUUAUGUAGCAAGCACUUCAUCAUCUGAGCCUUCUUCCCAGUCUGAGGCAGAGGGAUCUUGAAUCAGUUAUGAAGGAGAGAGUGAUGAGUACUGGAUGGAGCUUGAAGAUAAGUGUAGCAGGCAGACUGCCAUUGACUCUACUAGCCAUCUGUGACUAUGCCCAUGAAAAUGGCUGAGUGGGCCCGUAGGUAAAGGUGAUUGCUAUCAAGCCUGACGGGACCCACAUGGUGGAAGGAGAGAACUGACUCCUAAAAGUUGUCUUUUGAUUUCCACAUAUGCACUCUGAUAAUCAAGUGCUCCAACACAUACACAGACAAUAGAUAAGUGGGGUUUUUUUUGUUUUUGUUUUUUGUUUUUGUUUUUUUUUUUAAAUAACAGGUUGCCAGUCAUUCUUGAGGCAACAGUGAUCUCAGGCAGCUCUUCACUUCUGCUUCUGGCUUCCUCUUAGACUCUGAUCUGUUAAGUCCUCAUUUCAAGAAUCAAAACAAACCUCCGAGUUAUUAGAUGUGUAUAAUGGUUACUAUGAAUACUUAGCCUUGCAUACAACAAAAUAGAAUUCCCAGAGGCAAUUGUUAGCCUCCCAAUUAUUGAUAAUGUUGAGAUUUAGCAUCUCUGUAUAUGGACUCUGCUGGGAGUAGGUCUCAUGAUAACAACCACUAUAAACUGUGAGGCUGGACUACAGGAUGCAGGAUUGGUCAGUGUUUGUCACCUUCACAGGUACCAGUGUCACCCAGGAAACCUCAGCUGAGUCUAUGGGGUAUUGUAUUGAUUAGUGAUUGAUGUCAGAGGGUCAUCCUGAGGUCCUGGCUUGUAUAAGAAAGCAAGCUGGAUAAGCAAGGGGAAGCAAGCCAGUAAGCAGAGUUCCUCUGGCACCUUUGCUUCUGUUCCUGCCUCUAGCUAGGUUCCUGUCUGGAAUUCUUGCUAUGAUGUUCCUUUGUGGAAGACUAUAAGCUGCAAGAUGAAAGAGAUCCUUGCUUUUGGUCAGUGUUUAAUCAGAGCAGUAGAAAUUAAGCUAGGAAAGUAAUUAAACUCCAGGAGGUUCAGUUGAGAGGGACACCGGGGGUGGGGGGAUAAGAGGGAGAGAGGGAGAGAGAUCAAUCAACAUUUAUCAGAUGUUGUUCCCAAACUAUUUCAACAAUUGCCUUGCACAACACAAUUGAGACAAUAAAAUUGAAAAUAAAUUAAAGCCAUUUAAACAAAUGUUUUACGGAGCAAAGAUUCAUGAUUUGAAUAUUUAUGAUGGCAAAAUCAGAUUAAGUUGCCGACCCCCCCUCCCCCAUCUGUCAUCCAUGAUGCGAAGCCCCUGGGAGUAAGUUAGCUAGGGUUUGUGGCAUGUUUUGCUUAAAUAGAAAUAAACUAAUCGCAUUUCCAAGCUUGUAAAAUAGUUCAUUAAGUAGGGGAGGCAGCAAUAAUGGCACCCCGCCCUCAAGAAGCAUAUGAUCAGCAAUGCAGGCCGAGGGGAAUCGAGUAUGGUUCAACGUCUAAAUAAAUAGUCUCUAAAGAGUAAAAAAACAAGAUAACAGAUUUUAUACAGCUGAGGACCGUGUUUUAUAUUGACUUUUAAAAAUACUGUUAAUUUGAAAAUAAGUUUAAAGUGUUUUGACACUGUCUCAGAGAAGCCUGAGUGCUACAGGUAUUAAUUCUAUAGGACUGUCCUUCCUUAUAUCAGGGUCUUUGAUAGACACCCGACAUCUUCUCUCCUCUCUGACUGUUACUUCUGCUUACCUUGUUGUCAUUCUGUUUAUGACACUUUAAUCUCUUGGUCCCUUUGCCAUUAUUUUCUGCUCACCCUGACUAUAUUACUUUUAUGCCUUUAUGACCAGACUAUUAAAUGAAGCAACUUGGGAAAGAAGGGUUUGUCUUGGUUCACGUUUCAGACUUCAGAGUAGUGUUGUUACUUUUAUCCCCUCACCAUACAACCCCAGAUAUAACUCCAUAUCCUCACCUUGGGUUUCAUUUAUUUCAUAGUACUGGAUAUUGAAUCCAGGGCCUCAUCAAUGCUGGGCAAGCACCUCACCACUGGCCUGGAUUCCCGGCCAUCAGCUUCUGUUGUUAAUUUAAGGCAAGUUCUUUAUUUAGUUGCCCAGCUGGCCUUGAACUUAUUCUGUAAACCACAGAGACCUUGAACCUGGGAUCCUCCUGCCUCAGACUGGACUCCCAUAUUGCCAAAGUUCUGGGCUUAUGCCACCAGGCCUGUCUCAGCAUCCUUAAUUUAAUUGAGUGUGCAAAGUCCCUUUGCCCAAUGUAAUAACACAGUGACAUGCCUUGAGGAUGGGCAUGUGCCCAGGCUCUUCGAUGGUCCAUUGUUCAGCAGCCAUUUUUCUUUUACCUCACUUUUUUUUCCUGUCAAUUUUUAGGACAUUUGAAACUUGGCCUUUGGUUCCUGGUCCCAUUUUCGUCUCUAGUCAAAUUUUAGAAAAGGCACUCACUAAGGGCCAUUAUGGUUUUAAUCACUAUCUAUAUUGGAACUCAAAUCUGUGUCCAGUUUGAGCUUGUCCUUAAGCUCCAUGCUUGUGUCAAUGUCUAAUCUGUCUACAGAGUCUACAGUUCACUUGGAUGUCCACUGCAGAGGAUGAAACCAAUGAGAAGCUAUGGCUCCCAGGCGUGGUGAAAAAGUGGGUGUCAGACUGGGAGACAACAUAGGGAGCUGCCCUGGUGUAGGAUGAUGGAGAAUUGAGGUGUCAGUUAGCCAGGGCUCGUGUUGAUGGAAGUGGACAGUGUAACACACAGCUGGGGUGAAAGGGGAACUGGACAGGGGAAGUAGGUAGGGCCAUAUUACAAACCUUUGUUGUUUACUUUCGUAGUAACAAGCAGCUACCCAGGGAGUUUAAACACAAGGUGGUGGCCAGCAGCCCUUGCCAGAUGUGUCACAUGGCUAAGGAAAUUGGAAAAACACAAGUUCCUCAUACCCACAAGACUGAUCACCUGAGCACCGUUGGGAAGUACCUGGACAUCAGAUGCUAUAAGCUGACAGUCAACUGAAAGGCACUCUACCAACCCUCCCCACAAAGGAGAACACGGUUGACCUCAGCCAGAUCACAGCAACAUGGGGCGUGUCACACUUUUUCAAGAACAGUGGGAAGGAAGUUUGCUUCACCCAGAAAGAAGCAGCUCUAUUUUCCUAAGUGGGAAGUUAAGGCUUGAUCAUUGCGUGCAGCUAUGAGGUACUUUGUCCUCAAUGGUCACUUGUCCCUUGGACUCCCGUGGUAUGAGCUUCACACCAGACACAACUACCAUGGAGGACAAGAUGCCAGGAAGACAGGGCUCAGCCCUGGAAGGCUCCACGGAAGGCACUGCCAGCUGCAUAUGUAUCCAGCCUCACUGGUGUGUGUUUGGGAGACAGAAUCUUCACACCUUUUGGAAGGAGUUGGGUCUUUCUCCUGGAUGUUUGUCAGUUUUAUUCUUCUGACUUCGACCUUCGGCAGGAGCCAGCCAACACGGAAAAGCACACAAAGGAUCCACACCAUCCUUGGAAACAACAAACCAGAAUCUUUCCGCCAGCCUCCUGCUCAGAGAACCCUGGCUCUCACCUUUUUUCCUUGCAUAAACCUUCACAACCCUUCUAAGCGGCAUUUUCUGUUUCUCAGGGGCUAUUUACCUUGGUUUGCUCCAUGCUCCCCUGCACCGAUUCCAACCAGAGUGGCCACUAUUUUCCUACGAUUCAGGUUAGGAUGCUGCUCAGUUCUUACUUUUCUUGGAUUUUGGAAGCAUCUAACAGGGUCACUUGAGCAGCUAGUGCUGGUCUGGCACCUGGUAGGCAAAGAGGAGCAGAGGGGGGUAAGGGGUAGUCUGCUCCAGCGGUACUCUGCCAGUGUCAGUUCCAUCCUCACCCUCUACCCAACAUUCAGCCGCCACCUUUCCCCCUCAGUGGUUGGGUUAGGACUCACACCUACACCAUGCACUAUCCCUCCAUCAUCUUAACUCACUUGGUUGUAGGUGGUAGGUGUAGGUGAGAAGGUCUGAAGAUGCUUCUCUCGGCAGGCAAGACACAUUCCUUCAGGCUGCCUCUUCUGUCUUCUCUGGAGCAGUUAGUGCUCUAUCUUCCCUUACAUUUUUCUAGCAUGUUUAGUGGCUAACACAUAGAUUAAGCUAGAAGUUGCCAUUUUUUUCCUACAAAAGGAUAGAUCAUAGAUUUUUUUUCCAGCUUCUGUAGGCCUUGGGGUAUCUGUUUCCUCUAGUCAGCUCUGCUGUAGUAUGACAGCAGUCAUGGUCCCAUGUGGGAGUGACUGAUGCCAUCAUUGCAAACCGUAAGGCUGAUAGAAUCCAGUCUGAGAACAAACCUGUCCAUAGAACAAACAAGCUUUGUGCUUUGAUAGCUCUCUUUAUAAAAAAAAAAGCAGAAAAUAAAUUCAUCAUAUUAUUAUUGCUUUUUCUAGGAUAUCAACGUUGACUGUAUGUUUGUCUGACUUCCUCUGGUCCUAGAAUGAGCCGGGUUUCUUGUGAAUGCAGCUUCAAUUUGAUGAGCAUGUUGACACAUCACCUCUAAGGACUGGUGUUCCUUUUCAGUCCUGCUCAUAGAUUCCUUACAUGCCAACGGGGCAUGCGACAGUGGCUCUCAGAGCUGCCGACUUGGUAUUGGACUGUUCAUUUUUAAAGGCUGUUUUCUCUCAGAAGGUGGUUUUUUUUUUUUUUUUUUUUUUUUUUUUUUGAUGUCAACAUAAAUAGCGUUUGACAUUUCACAGUAGCGUUAGCAAUAACCACCCAGUGGAGGGUGGGCAGGAGAGGCAGCUGGACGUGUGGAGGAGGCCUGGUUUUGUGGGAUCCCAUGGUUAUUACUCUUAGUGGAAUAAGGAUUGUGGGAGCAAUCACCUCAUCUUUGGCUCCAUUUAGCGUCCAACAGGGAAGAUGUGAUCGAUCACCUCACGGGCCACAGAAGACUCUCCAGCACUGGGGAUGACUACAGUGCAUUCCCUGGAGGUGGUCUGACAGGAGUGUCUACCACGCGCCAAUCUACCUAGUGUGACCCAGUGACCUGCUCUAUUGCCGCUCGCUGCCAUAGGUGGGCUGUGCCUAUGUUCGUCACUGUAAACCAAGGGGAAAUCCUGGCAACUCUACCCAGCUCUCUGACAGCGGAAGUAGAUAAUUUGAUCAAAGCAAAGAGGGUCCCAGGUCUGCCUCAGCCGAGGCCCUUUAUUUACAGGCAGCUGGCGUCUCGCUCCCACCUCUGGAUGAGGCAGAAAAAUACCACAAUGAACGCACAUUUAUAUGCGUUGCCUGGAGUGUGGAAAAUCAGGAGAGAGACUUUCAGAGAGUAAGAACUUACACAUUAUGCCUCUGCAGUCACUUCAGGCUAUUUGGCUAAAACUCCUUCUGUGUAUAGGGAUAUAGGUUGGAUUUAACCCCAAAGUAAAUCUUUUACAUCCAAAAUUAAACACCGUGUAGGGCGGAAGAAUUUUUUUUUCGGAGAUUUUUAUACUCUGUAAUUUCUUGAAGGAGUUUCAUGCCUUAUUUUUUUUAGUCACUUCAAAACGUAUCGCAAGCUUAUGAAUUCUACCUUGGAUCUCCCAUUCCACCAUCUGGGACACGAACAGGACUGGAGGAGCCCCAGCGUGACAUUUCUGGGUAUUUUCUAAGUUGUUUUUUGUUGUUCACUUGGUGAGAUAUGGAGAGAGCAUAUGUAGGGUAGUGACUCAUCUCCAGGGAAGAUUUCUGGGGAUGCGAUGCCUUCAGUUUGUAGUUUCCCAGUUGUAACCUGCUGAAGCUUUCGCAGAGGAGACCGUCUUUGUUCUGUUUCAGACUUUCAGAUGAGUGACCCAAGAGCAGCUUUCUGAGCCCAAGUUCCCCUCUCAUUUUGGCUUUGUGUCACUCUCACUGUACCCCCCCCCAAUAUCCCUGGGCCUUACUCAUUAGUAUAUCACCCCAUUCAGGUAGCGGGGGAGCGACAGUCAGCUGAACACAACUCUCAGUUAGCACUGAGGCAUUAGGGUGUGUCCAAGUGAUUGGAUGUUAUUAAGUCCGGAAGAACGUGUCAAUGAAUAGACGGCCACAUGUGUCUUAGUGAUGGCAAAGGUUAAUUCAGGCAGCAUAAGCUGUUGAUGACAAGGACUAACUUUGUAGGAGAUUAAGGCCAGGGAUAUGUGCUACAGGCUUUGAUGUACAGGCAUCAUUCAGAAACCAGCCUUAAUUUACUAAAUGGUAAGGGAUCCGUGUACCCUUGCUUUAGAGAGUCCAUCCUUUAUGUUUGGCUUCAAAGCACCAAAGACAGGAAAUGUGUUUGAGAUGUAGAUUUCUUUCACAACAAAAUGAUAAUGUGAGAAGCUUGCACUUCUUCUUAGAUUGCAAUCGUAAGCAUUUAUUUUAGACUCAUAGCAUGGAAAACGGUGAAGUGUGAGAAACUGUCUUGUUUAGUUUAAGACUUUUUACACAGAUUUAUGUAGAGGUAUAUGUGCAUGUGUGCAUGUGUGUAUGAGUGUGCACAUACAUGUGUAUAUGUGCAUGUGUAUUUACUUGCCUAUGUGGGUGUAUGUGUGUGUUAGUGUAGAGAACAACUUGCAGAAGUUGAUUUUUUUAUUAAGUGGGUUCUAGGAAUCGAACGUGGUUGGCAGUAUUGACAGCAAGAAUCUGCUGGGUCUUCUGAGAGGCCCUGGUUUAACUGCAAUCCAUUACAAUGCUUGUGUUGGUAAAGUUUGUUGUCAACUUGACACAAGCUUGAGUCAUCUGUAAAAGGGAGUCUCAGUUGAAGGCUGGCUUGUGCGCAGGUCUAUGGAAUAUUUUCCCCAAUUAAUGACUGAUGUGGGAGGAGUCAGCCUGCUGUGGGCAGUGUCAUCCAUGGAAGAGUCAUGGAGAGAAUAAGAAGGCAGGCUGAACAAGCCACAGGGAGCAAGACAAUUAGUAGCAUCCUCCAUGGCCUCUGUGUCAGCUCCUGCUUUGAAUCUUUGUCCUGAUUUCCCUCCUUAAUGGUCUAUGACAUACAAGUGUAAUCCAAAUAAACCCUUUUCUCUCUGUGUUGCUUUUGGUCAGAAUGUUUUAUCACAGUGGUAGAAAGAAAACUAGGACAAUGUUCUUUGUCAGAAGUGUUGAUGCUACGUGGUUCAAGAAAAGACUCCAGGAUGGACGCAAACAUACACUGUAAUCCUAGUUUCAAAAAUCUAUCUUCAAUGGCAGGCUGAGUCAUAUGAAGUGGCUAUUUUGUACGUUGAAAUUAUUUGAAAUCAGCAAUUCUACAUGGUUCAAAAUGCCAAUGGCACAGGCUCAAUGGACAAGAGAAACUACAUAUGAAAUAUAUAUGGGUACGCAGAUAUGUGCAUAUGUGCAUGUGCACACACGUGGGAUUGGGUGACACAGAGACUGACACAGAGAGAGAGAGGGGAGGGGAGAAGGAAGGAGGGAGGGAGAGAGAGACUUAGUAAGCAUUCUUAAUGGUAACUAUGGGAAUAGGAUUUUAUCUUUUCCUCAUCUCUAUCUCUAGAGUGAGUGCUCCUCCCUUUCCCCUUUGAGUGCUGUACAAGUUCAGCCUUUCACAGUGAGGAGGAGCCUGCAGUGAGAGCGCACUUACACGAUGAUCUCUUAGUCACUUUAAGGACAUCGGGGCUCUGGUUUCCAGAGCCCUUUAGAAAUACCCAGAUUUGGAGAGAAGUGGGCCGGUUUCCUUUCCUUUCUGGCUAAAGUCUACCUUGUGCACACAAGGAUGGGGUACAAGUAGGCAUCCAAACCUAUCUGUGAAUGGUUUCCAAACUGAAUGCACGGGGGAGAGAUAACUAAUCGUUGCUUACCGACAUUCUGCAAUGCUGCCGAUUUCCCCUUAGUGAAACCGAUAGGCUUGUUCUCCGAAAAGCAGAUGGCUGGAUUAGAUAGCCAUAGGACAGGAAGGAGUAAAGAAGGAAAAUGAAAAAGCUGCUGGUUUGUUGAGAAGCACCUUCCUAAUUCUCCUGAAUGGGCACUUAGACUCUUGGGUAAAUGCCACACUUUGUAUAUUG